AAAAAAAAAAAAAAAAAAAAAAAAAAAAACAUUUUUUCUUUUAUGAAAAAUCUCCAAUUAGCAAAAGCUGCAACUUACCACUAAGGAUGCGUUUGGUUCGAGUUAUCAUGGCAGGAUUACAAACAAUCCUGCCAGGAUAACUGUAUUUAGUUAAUCCGCUAUGUAAUUUAGUCGUUAAUGUAGCAUUACAAAUCGAGCAGGAUUAUAUCGAAAAUAUUAACGAGAGGGGGUCGUUUAUCUUGCAUUACUGAAACCCAUUAAUAUUACAUAUUAUGUAAAAUGACAAUUUUAUCCUCCAAUAACCCCAAAUCUAAUUAACAGCAUUAUUUUCAUCUCUCUCUCACCUUCCCCCUCUUUCGCACGCCACUUUCUCUCGCUCUCUCUCUCUCUCGACGUCUCUUUCUCUCUCUCUCUCUCUCUCUCUCUCUCGCACGAACACCUAUCAUCUUCUAUUGCGUCGUCCUCCCAGGUAAUCAUCACGAUCUCCUUCCCUCCAUUCGUCAUUUCCGCAAAAAAUAAUAUUCAAAUGACCACAACAAGGGCAAUUUUGGAAAAAUAAUACUUUUAUGUCAGGAUUACUAAAUUUUAUA
rnacentral:lncRNA from 1 species